GGCGUGGCUUAUUAUAACUACACCAUCGUUAUCUCCCUAAAAAAAAGCUCCACCAUCCUUCCCCAGAUUUCCCUUCACGCCUCCACCUCCAGGACUCUCGCCUGCCAUCGAUCUAACCAUGUCGCCUCCGCCACCUCCUGAACAACAGGUCGACGAGCCGGCCUGUGAACUUCCGCUGCCGUAGAUGAUUCACCAUUGAUUUUGGAAAGAACCUGAUUAUGGUGGUUCGUUUUUCCAUCGGGGUCUCACUAGAGAGCGUGUGAUGAUAAUUUCUUUGAUCGGCCAUCGAGAACUCCAGAUCCCUAAAAUUAAACUUCUGGAAAUUAUAGGCCCGCUUCACCCGUUUUUCUUUUUUUCUUGGAUCAGGUUCGGUGCUUCUUGUACAGCCUGGUGUCUUCUGGAUUCUUGUGUUCUUGGUCGGACCUCUAUUACUGCAGUUCCUAAACACCCACCGCUCAUGCUACCACAAAGUAGUACUCUCUACCUUUCGAAUGUUACUGUGUGCCUAUUUUACUCUCUGAUGAAAUUUCUGGUAUGUUCGGUUCAGAUGGUAGAUUAUCACUUCUACAAUCUUUUUUUGCAGCUUGGUCCUCUUCUAGUGUUGUACGUGUAGUGUCUGACUUCUAUGUGCUGACGGAAUUUAUUUAUUUGUUCGAAGUGUGAACAUCCAGCCUGUGCAUUACUCGUAUCUUAGAUGGAUCAGCCUCUACCUGCAAAAAAAAGAUGGACCCGCCUCUCUGAAUGUUGAUACUAGCUCAUGGUAUGACUUAUGAUCCUUCAUUGUGCUUUUAUCUUCUGAAAUACUUUCAUUAAUUUUUAGAGCACCAAAUUUUCAUAUGUAUCAGUUCCAAGCAGUUGAAUAUGUAUCUGCAACUUGAAUUCUUUUUGUUGAAUUACUUUGCUCCGAUUAACUGUGCUAGAGCAUAAUUUGUUCUUGUGGCUUCGUAUGUCAAUGGUAUUCAACCUCGGGAAAGAUAAGGCACAUAUAGCUUAGUGCAAAACUGCGGAAACACAGACGUCCGUCCAAUGUCAAUACGUGCCAACAUGUAUUUUCUUAAUGUAAGUGAUAUUGACUUCUGCAUUUUUUCCCUCUUUUAUCAGUUGGAAUAUCCAUGUAUUUAGGAUUAUUUCAAGAGACUUGUAGCUCAGAAACCUGAUUUUGCAAACACCAGUAAUGUAUAUAUAUAGCUUGCAUGCAAAUGUAAUGUCUUCAAUACAGUACCAGGAAUAGACAUGUCUGGACAUGUACAUGGACCAGGAAUAAUUCUGAAUCCUGAUCAGAUUGACAAGUUAAAUGGAUGAUGCGUGGGUGAGAGAUGCUGAUAGCAAUGAUGAGGAUAUUGCUACUACUUGAUAGUGUUACAGAAUGUCUUAGAAUGCUAUCGUACAUUGCCAAUGUUUAGAGAUUUUUUUUUUCUUUGGGUCAUGUUCUUUGUAAUACAACAAAGUUUAUUUAAUAUAUUUUCUUUAUGUUCGCUAUAUAGAA